CGCGUAGGUGGUUUGAUAAGCGAGAUGUGAAAGCCCCGGGCUUAACCCUGGGAACGGCAUUUCGAACUGUCAGGCUAGAGUAUGGUAGAGGGUAGUGGAAUUUCCUGUGUAGCGGUGAAAUGCGUAGAUAUAGGAAGGAACACCAGUGGCGAAGGCGGCUACCUGGACCAAUACUGACACUGAGGUGCGAAAGCGUGGGGAGCAAACA
rnacentral:rRNA from 1 species